rnacentral:lncRNA from 1 species
UAUAUUACAGUGUAUUGAUGGCUUUUUUAUAGCCGAAAUAAGAAUAAAAAUGAAUUUGUUUGAUUUGAUUCUGUAAAUAUUUGAUUUCCUUUCCUUUUUUUGUUGUUUGAUGCUUGAUGUGCAGGUACAAUCGGAUCUUGGCUGCGCGAGGAGUUAGGUGGCUGCGGCGCAAAGGUUAGAAACCCUAGGGUUUCUGGCGUUCCUGGGUCACUGUUGUUUGGGCCGUUGCUCAUUUUGGGCCUUACUGGCCCUUUUGUAAUUUGGGCCAUUUACCCGGGCCAAAAUCGGGUAUUACAUAGUCUAUAAGUUAUAUUAGACAUCUCCCCAUGCUAAUCUUUAUCUAGCCACACCCAAAAAAAAAAAACACUUUACAUACUAGCACCUUAAUUGAAAGCUUCAACUUAAUGGAAAAAGGGGAAAUGAAUGCAACAAAAAUAUAAUAUUCAAGUCUCAUAUUUACUCCAUUUCUGAUUCUCUUGGAUAUAAGACAUAUUUAUAUAGAUAUCAGACUUAAGUCUUUGGGGCAAACUGAUAAAAUUAAAAAAUAUCUGCAAUACAAUUUCUACAAUACAAUUUCUUUAUGUUUCUGUCAAAUAAAUACAGGGGCUUUGGGCCUUUGGCUACAAGCACGGAUAUGUUUAUUUAAUAUAAGUUGUCAAUGUUACUUUCACUAUAUAUUAGUUUUAUUAAUUUUGUAUUCACUAUCAUAUUUAUUAUCAUUUGCACUAUUAUAUCUUUAUUUCCAUUGAAUUACUAUUGUUAAACUUUUCACUUCUAUAUACAUUUAUGCACAUUAUAUGUAUGUUUGUAUAUGUGUCCACUGCAUGUGAGAGGCAGGACACGUUGCGCUCUGUACUGCAGUUUUCAAGUUUGCUUUUCUUUCUUCUAAGAGCAGACUAUCUGAUCAAAUAAGGGAUCAGACUGCUCCUGGUGUUCGAACUAGUCAUUAAUGGUAAGCUUCAUUGGUAUCCUUUCUUUUUUCUGGUAUGCGACCACCGAGACUGAAGGUGGAAAGUUGAAAUCUUCUUUUAUUAUUAUGCAUUCUAUAUGUGCUAGAGUUUACAUUCAUUUUGUUUUUUUCUCUACUCUUUCUCUCCCACUUGUUACUAUAAUCCCGAAACAAGUAAAGUAAGGAUCCAUUUGUUUAUUUUCACGCGAAUAGUCUUUUUUCUUAUUCUGUCUAAAGUGGCUUUUUCCUUUUUUUAUCUCUUUAUGGAUGAGCUUCACCGGGAAGUGGCUCCAUUUCUUACUGCGUUGAGGGCAUCCACAGUGGAGUUAAUCCACCACCAGGCGCGGCCCUUCUGGAAGCUACCCUUGGCUAGUCUCUAAAUGCUUGCCCGAUAGUUGUUUGAUAAAAUUCCUAAGAAAGGUUGCUUGCUGAAUGAGUUUAGUUUUGGGAUUUUGGUUCGUGGGUAUUGUAGAUUUGGCCUUGCUAAUAAAGGGUUGGAGCUUUUGGAUUUGAUGAGAAGUUCUGAGAUUUUGCCUAACAGGAUAUUUUUAACUUGAUUGUUGCCACUUUCAAUGGUUUGAGCGACACCGAUGGUCCAUCAUUUAGAAGGAUAGUUGUAAUUUUGGAGACUCUUGCGAAAUAUAGAUCAUGUGUUGUGAUGUUGGAUCUUGAAUUGGAUCUUGAAUGUGAUGAUUUGGUUAAUGAAAUGUUCAGUACAUUUUUUUCUGUUGUAAGGUAUGUUUUAUUCCAUUAUUUAUUUAAUGUUUUAUUCCAUUAUUUAUUUAAUGUCAAGAACCGUUUACUCAUCGGUUCUGCUUACCAAAAAGUAUGCGUUGCAUGUAACAUGAGUGCUUUUGUUUUUGUUGAAUGUAGAAUUUUGAAAUGGCUUUAUGGUACAACAUGAUAUUGGUCUUAGUAUUUCACUUUAGUGCAGUGGCUAAGAUAUGCCUGCAACCUCUUUUUGUUCAUUGUAGUAUCUUGAGCAUACCUAUUUGUGUGUGCAUGUCUGUCUUGUGGUUGGGUUGGUACUUGAAAGUUUCAUCUUCCCUUAAGUUGUUUUUAUAGUAAGAAUCUGCAUGUUGUUUAAAUCAUUUUCCUGUAUGUUUUGAAUUAUCUUGGACUGGAGGACUGAUGUUAACUACAUAUUGCAGGGAUGAUCAUCCAGAAAGUGUUUUAUCAGCUAUGCAAACAAUCAUGAUUGUGGUGUUAAAAGAGAGUGAAGAUGUUUGAGAUGACUUUUUACUUGUUAUAUUGUUUGCAUUAGGUCGUAAUAAAAGUGUAAGAAUUUCAUAUUUGCUAUUGGCUUAUUGCUUACAAAUUGUAUGGCUGCUUAUAUUUAUCCCCUAGGAAUUAUAAUUCUGAAGGAAAUUGAUUUCUAGAAUCUAUAAUCUCAGGGUGUUACUCAAGCUUCCAGGAGACUUGCUAUGAAUGUCAUAGAGCAGUGUUCAGAAAAACUUGAAGCUGGCAUAAAACAGAUUCUUAUUUCAGUGAUGUCUGGAGAUAAUCAAUUAAUAAAAAGUGAAAUUGACUAUCAUGAAGUUAUCCAUGGCAUUUAUCAUUGUGCUCCUCAGAUUCUGUCAGGUAUUGUCCCAUACCUCACAAGAGAGUUGUUGGUAUGAACACAAAAAUUCUUUUUCAUUUCUACUAAUUACUUAACUGCUUUAAGAUUUUGUCGUCCAUGUGAAGACAUAUUUAUUUUUUGUUUUUGAGAAUUUUUGUAUAUUCUAAAAUAAUUCUUAUAAUCUUUUCGAGGAUGAAAUGUUUGUGGUUUUGGAGAGUUUAGGUUCAGCCUUUGCGAAAAUGGGGGCUUUUUCUUUUUCUUUCCUUCCUAUUAUGGAUUUGUCAUAGUUUAGUCUUAAGUUUGGAAAAUGAGUUCAAAGAUGGUUGGAGUUGAUUGACAAUUUCUAUGGUUGGAGUUGAUUGACAAUUUCUAAGGUUUAUAAAUUAUAAAUUCUAAUAUAUGCAGGCUGAUCAAUUAGACACUCGUUUGAGAGCUGUGAGAUUGGUUGGAUCCAUUUUUGCUCUGCCUGGUGCUACCUGGUGCUAAUAUAUGUGAAGCAUUUCAGCCAAUAUUUUCAGAAUUUUUGAAGAGGUUGACUAAUAGAGUUGUCGAUGUUAGAAUGUCUGUCCUCGAACAUGUUAAGAUCUGUCUGUUGUUAGAUCCCUCUAGACCUGAGGCUCCUCAAAUAAUCUGUGAGUUUCUUUUGAUUUUUGUUUUCUCAAAAUAUAUAGUUAUUUAUGUUAGUUCGCUAAUUUUGACAUUGUUCUAAAUUUUCUAACUGCCCUAUGUGAUCGGCUUUUAGACUAUGAUGAAAAUGUUCGAAAGCAAGUUGUGGAUGUAAUUUGUGAUGUUGCUUGUCAUUCUUUUGUUUCCAUUCCCGUACGGGCUGUAAAACUAGUUGUAGAUCAUUAAUUCAUAAUUGAUUUUUACUUUCCUUCAUGUUUUCUAUUGGACCUUGUGCAAUUUGUAGGAGUCACUUAAUUAGUGCUCUAUGCAAAGCAGGAAAGAUGAAGCUAAAAAUAUUUCUACCAUUAUCUAAUAAAAUCCUAAUAUUUCUACCUUCAGGAUGUUAGUAUAUGUGGUCAGAAGGAAGCCUUUUAUAGUUUAAUAUUUCUACCUCAUGCACAAACAAUUAAAGUAGUAUAGUUAUUAUUUUCUUAGCUAAGAACAAUGUGAGAAGGAAAAACAGAAACUACUUUGAUACAAUUCAAACACAUAUAUAGAGUGGAAAAAGAAGGGUUUUGACUUACCAGAUCAAAGUUGAGAACAAGAUUGAUAGGAUGAGUCAAAAAAUAGAGCUUCUUUGAGUCUGCUUGUUGUUGGUGGGGUUUUGUAAGAGUGUCAAUU